AUAUGCCUGUUGCCUUUGUCCAUGGAGUUUUCUUGGCAGGGAUACUGGAGUGGCUUGCUGGUUCCUGCUCCUGGUGGAUCACGUUUGGUCAAAACUCUCCACUAUGACCUGUCCAUCUUGGGUGGCCCUGCACGGCAUAGCUCAUAGCUUCUCUGAGUUAUUCAAGCCCCUUCGCCACGGCAAGGCAGUGAUCCAUGAAGCUACAAACAUGAGUCUGACCAAACUGCGGGAGGCACUGGAAGACAGGUGUGCCUGGCAUGCUCUGGUCCAUGGGGUCACGAAGAGUCGGACACGACUAAAUGAC